GACAGAGGCCUCGAGCGUUAGGCGGAAUCACUGGGCUUAAAGCGUGUGUAGGCGGGCCCGUAAAUGGUUUGUGAAAUCCCACGGCUCAACCGUGGAACUGCUGGGCAUACUGCGGGUCUUGGGCCAACUAGGGGCAGCCGGAACAAGCGGUGGAGCGGUGAAAUGCGUAGAUAUCGCUUGGAACGCCGAAGGUGAAAACAGGCUGCUGGGGUUGCGCCGACGCUGAGACACGAAAGCCAGGGGAGCAAACGGG
rnacentral:rRNA from 1 species